AGAGUUUGAUCCUGGCUCAGAAUCAACGCUGGCGGCGUGCCUAACACAUGCAAGUCGAGCGAGAAAAGGGGAGCAAUCCUCUGAGUAAAGCGGCGCACGGGUGAGUAACACGUGGGUAAUCUGCCCUGAAGUGGGGAAUAACACCGGGAAACCGGUGCUAAUACCGCAUAUGAUCACGGUGUCUGCGGACACAGGGAUGAAAGGAGCAAUUCGCUUCAGGAGGAGCCCGCGGCUGAUUAGCUAGUUGGUGAGGUAAUGGCUCACCAAGGCUACGAUCAGUAUCCGGUCUGAGAGGACGGUCGGACACACUGGAACUGAGACACGGUCCAGACUCCUACGGGAGGCAGCAGUGGGGAAUUUUUCGCAAUGGGGGCAACCCUGACGAAGCAACGCCGCGUGGAUGAUGAAGUAUCUCGGUACGUAAAAUCCUUCCGACAGGGAAGAAACCGCAAGGUGACGUACCUUAGAAGAGCCCCGU
rnacentral:rRNA from 1 species